ACCUGUGCUCUUCCAAUCACGGGAGUUUUGACCUGCUCCGUUUCCGACCUGGGCCGGUUCACCCCUCCUUCGGCAACCUGGUGGUCCCCCGCUCCCCGGAGGUCACCAUAUUGAUGCCGAACUUAGUGCGGACACCCGAUCGACGUAGCGCACUACAGCCCAGAACUCCUGGGCUCAAGCGAUCCUCCUGCCUCAGCCUCCCGAGAUCCGAAGAG